AUCAAGUGAGAAAUCUUGAGAAGAAAGAGUUAGGAAGAAAACUUUAGAAGAGUAGAGGUUCUUGAGGGUUUUCGGGGGAACAAAUUCGGAGCAAGGAAUUGAGUCUGAAAUAGAGGUAAGGGAAGCUAACCUUUCUACGCUUUUAUAUUAUGAUUUACUAUUGUUAAAUCACUAUUCAUGUCUUGAAAUUCUGUGUGAAUAUUGUUAAUGGAAAACAUAUGUGCUUGUUGCAUAUUUAUUCAUAUUGAUUUCUUGUGUUAAUAUUAUAUGUUGUUGUUUUGAAUCUAUAAAUGAGAAAUUUGUUAAGAACAAGUUGAGGAACACUUUGGCUAAGGAAAGACCUGGUACUUAAGUUAUCCAUUGUGACGCACCUCUCUUUCCUGGAAGUCUACUCGAUGUGAUUUUAACUAAUUCUUAUCAAACAGAUUAUGUGUAGUUAAAUUAUUUUGUGAUAUAUUCAAUUUGUAUGAUUUUUGGGAUGGAUGGACUUCAUGAUGUUUGUAUGAAUUAUUGAGUGUAUAUCCUUUUUCUAUUACAUCCAUCUGGAAGGAUAAGAAGAUGUCUAAACGGCUUUGCCAGAUUCAACUUCUUGGUUUCCCCAGAACGUAUAUAUUAAAAUUAUUUCGUUUAUGGUAGCUUACCCUUACUUUUUGUGUUUGUGCCGGAAAAUUAUAUUUUUGCGAUGAUCGUAUAAUGUAUAUGUUAUACGGAAGCAGAUGAAGGAAUGUCACCUAAUCCAGUUCAAGUGAAGAUAAAGGCAGAAGAAUAGUUGAUAAGAGUCGGAGUUAUCUUUAUAGAUGAGAAGUUGAAAUUUGAGUUUAAAAGGUGUAAUUAACAUGAAAUCCUUUAUACUUAUUUAUGG
rnacentral:lncRNA from 1 species